GGUGACCUGGGAUAAGGUGGUUGUGCACUGACAAAAUGAAAGGACAUUGACUUGUAGUUAUCUUGAGUAUGAAGUUAUUUGAGCCUAGCAUCUUCUGGGUCUCUUGAUUACUUAAAAAAUGUGGGAUAAUAAAAUGCUUCAAGUGCUAACAAUUUCUAAUAAAUUCUAUAAAUUCCCAAAAGGUGGGAUUAGGGAUGUAGAAGAAGCAAAAUGUAUUCGAUUAAACAGACUUGAACCAGGUAGGAUAUCCCUUCCCAAGCUUUGAGCAUGUUUGAUUUGCUUUCAUAUGC
rnacentral:lncRNA from 1 species